UACGGGGGGAGCAAGCGUUGUUCGGAUUUACUGGGCGUAAAGGGCGCGUAGGCGGUCAGCACAAGUCAGUUGUGAAAUCUCCGGGUUUAACUCGGAAAGGUCAACUGAUACUGUGCGACUAGAGUGCGGAAGGGGCAACUGGAAUUCUCGGUGUAGCGGUGAAAUGCGUAGAUAUCGAGAGGAACACCUGCGGCGAAGGCGGGUUGCUGGGCCGACACUGACGCUGAUGCGCGAAAGCCAGGGGAGCGAACGGG
rnacentral:rRNA from 1 species